AGAGUUUGAUCCUGGCUCAGGACGAACGCUGGCGGCGUGCUUAACACAUGCAAGUCGAACGGAAAGGCCCUUCGGGGUACUCGAGUGGCGAACGGGUGAGUAACACGUGGGUGAUCUGCCCUGCACUUUGGGAUAAGCCUGGGAAACUGGGUCUAAUACCGAAUAUGACCAUGCACUUCCUGGUGUGUGGUGGAAAGCUUUUGCGGUGUGGGAUGGGCCCGCGGCCUAUCAGCUUGUUGGUGGGGUAAUGGCCUACCAAGGCGACGACGGGUAGCCGGCCUGAGAGGGUGACCGGCCACACUGGGACUGAGAUACGGCCCAGACUCCUACGGGAGGCAGCAGUGGGGAAUAUUGCACAAUGGGCGCAAGCCUGAUGCAGCGACGCCGCGUGAGGGAUGACGGCCUUCGGGUUGUAAACCUCUUUCAGCACAGACGAAGCGCAAGUGACGGUACGUGCAGAAGAAGGACCGGCCAACUACGUGCCAGCAGCCGCGGUAAUACGUAGGGUCCGAGCGUUGUCCGGAAUUACUGGGCGUAAAGAGCUCGUAGGUGGUUUGUCGCGUUGUUCGUGAAAACUCACAGCUUAACUGUGGGCGUGCGGGCGAUACGGGCAGACUUGAGUACUGCAGGGGAGACUGGAAUUCCUGGUGUAGCGGUGGAAUGCGCAGAUAUCAGGAGGAACACCGGUGGCGAAGGCGGGUCUCUGGGCAGUAACUGACGCUGAGGAGCGAAAGCGUGGGGAGCGAACAGGAUUAGAUACCCUGGUAGUCCAA
rnacentral:rRNA from 1 species